CACAGACUCUCCUUCACUGCCAGUUCGUCAACGACCUCAUUUCACUUGGACCUUCCUCGCCACUUACAUUCAGCUUUAGCUCUUCAUGGACUACUGCUCUAUUCUGGAAAAUACUUUGAACCUCACCUGCCUGCCCUCCAGCCAUCUCUCACCACCUCGGAUGCAGUGGAACUCAGGUCAGCCAGUCUUUGCCAUUACUCACCAGGAUUCUUGCCACCUCUCCCUCAAAGCCAAGCUCACCGCAGCUACAAACGGUCUAUCCCCAUUCGAAGCAUCUCUAGGCUACCAACCACCUCUGUUCCCCACCACUGAGACUCACCUAGUUUCCUGGGUACAACAUCAUCUCCAGCAGAGUAGAUAAAUCUGGGAGCAGAAUUGAGAAGCUUUGUUCAAAACAGCUGAUCAAAAUAAGAAAUAUGCAAAAGAGCUGUGAAGAGUGACAGGAAAGCGGAGGGAGAGAGAAAGAAGAAGACAUGUGGCAAAGGGCCACUGGUUGGACUUGAACCCAGACUGGCAGCUCUCCGCCAUGCGGCAUAUGGUUGUCAGCUCAUCCCAGCGAGCUAAAAUGGCACCCUAUCAGCGUCAUCUUUUGACCAGAAGCUCACAAGUGAUAUGAUCAUUACCCACCAUACCUACAGCUGAUUCUCGCGUUCUGGAUUCCUCUCCCCGCUCACCCGAAAGAGCUCACGGACUAGCUCCUCUGACAACCCUCAGACCCUCCCUCUGCCUGCCCUCCUCCCUGCUAUUCACCUCUGGAUCACACAGGUCAACUGGAUUGACUCACUAUUACCCUGUUGGACACUUGCACUGCUUCCCCCUAUCCUUCCGGAUCCUGGUCUCCCACCGACCACUAAGCAAUUUUCCUAAUUCUAAUCAUUACCUUGCAAUUCCUCCAGCUCCUUUACUAAUCCCUCUCAAACACAUUACCACAAAACCCGGACAUUAGAACAGUCAUUUUCACUACUCAAACUACAUUUCUCAUUUAUAUAUUGAUCAGACUUAUAUUUCGAUUGAGCUUUGAUUAAAA